UACGUAGGGUGCGAGCGUUGCCCGGAUUUAUUGGGCGUAAAGGGUGCGUAGGCGGCGCGGUAAGUCGGGUGUGAAAUCUCGGGGCUUAACUCCGAAACUGCAUUCGAUACUGCCGUGCUUGAGGACUGGAGAGGAGACUGGAAUUUACGGUGUAGCGGUGAAAUGCGUAGAUAUCGUAAGGAAGACCAGUGGCGAAGGCGGGUCUCUGGACAGUUCCUGACGCUGAAGCACGAAGGCCAGGGGAGCAAACGGG
rnacentral:rRNA from 1 species